GGUUCCAUAGUGUAGUGGUUAUCACUCGAGAUUCUGAUUCUCGAAACCCGAGUUCGAAUCUCGGUGGGACCU
rnacentral:tRNA from 1 species